GUGGGGUGAUGGCCUACCAAGGCGACGACGGGUAGCCGGCCUGAGAGGGCGACCGGCCACACUGGGACUGAGACACGGCCCAGACUCCUACGGGAGGCAGCAGUGGGGAAUAUUGCGCAAUGGGCGAAAGCCUGACGCAGCGACGCCGCGUGAGGGAUGACGGCCUUCGGGUUGUAAACCUCUUUCAGCGCUGACGAAGCGAAAGUGACGGUAGGCGCAGAAGAAGCACCGGCUAACUACGUGCCAGCAGCCGCGGUAAUACGUAGGGUGCGAGCGUUGUCCGGAUUUAUUGGGCGUAAAGAGCUCGUAGGCGGUUUGUCGCGUCAGCUGUGAAAACUCGGGGCUCAACUUCGAGCUUGCAGCUGAUACGGGCAGACUUGAGUUCGGCAGGGGAGACUGGAAUUCCUGGUGUAGCGGGAAAUGCGCAGAUAUCAGGAGGAACACCGGUGGCGAAGGCGGGUCUCUGGGCCGAUACUGACGCUGAGGAGCGAAAGCGUGGGGAGCGAACAGGUUUAGAUACCCUGGUAGUCCACGCCGUAAACGUUGGGCGCUAGGUGUGGGGUUCCUUCCACGGACUCCGUGCCGUAGCUAACGCAUUAAGCG
rnacentral:rRNA from 1 species